rnacentral:rRNA from 1 species
UACGUAGGGUGCGAGCGUUGUCCGGAAUUAUUGGGCGUAAAGAGCUUGUAGGUGGUUUGUCGCGUCUGCUGUGAAAACCCGAGGCUCAACCUCGGGCCUGCAGUGGGUACGGGCAGACUAGAGUGCGGUAGGGGAGAUUGGAAUUCCUGGUGUAGCGGUGGAAUGCGCAGAUAUCAGGAGGAACACCAAUGGCGAAGGCAGAUCUCUGGGCCAUUACUGACGCUGAGGAGCGAAAGCGUGGGGAGCGAACAGG